GUGCGUGUAGCUCAGUGGAUAGAGUAUCUGGCUCCGAACCAGAGGGUCGCAGGUUCAACUCCUGUCAUGCACA
rnacentral:tRNA from 1 species